GAUGAACGCUGGCGGCGUGCCUAAUACAUGCAAGUCGAGCGACCGCACAAUAAGCUUUCUCCUCUGCUGUUAGCGGCUGACGGGCGGGUAACACGUGCAUCACCUUCCUCUUUGUCUUGGAUAACUUCGUAAAACCGCAGCUGCUACCGCCUCAUAUUUUCUACCGCAUAGAUCAAGAGUUCUUCACGCUUUUGCUGUCUCUUUUAGCUGGAUCCGCGCUGCAUUAGCUAGUUGGUAAGGUAACGGCUUACCAAGGCGACGAUGCAUAGCUGACCUGAGAGGAUGAUCAGCCACACUGGAACUGAGACACGGUCCAGACUCCUACGGGAGGCAGCAGUAGGGAAUAUUGGGCAAUGGGCGAAAGCCUGACGGAGCAACACCGCGUGAGUGAAGAAGGUCUUCGGAUCGUAAAGCUCUUUUAUUGGGAAAGAAAAGAAGUGGAUGAAAAUGUGCAUAUUUUGACGGUACCUAAAGAAAAAGCAACGGCUAACUUCGUG
rnacentral:rRNA from 1 species